GGGCCCGCACAAGCGGUGGAGUAUGUGGUUUAAUUCGAUGCAACGCGAAGAACCUUACCAGGGUUUGACAUCCUGCGAAUCUCUUGGAAACUUGAGAGUGCCUUCGGGAGCGCAGUGACAGGUGGUGCAUGGCUGUCGUCAGCUCGUGUCGUGAGAUGUUGGGUUAAGUCCCGCAACGAGCGCAACCCACGUCUUUAGUUGCCAGCAUUUAGUUGGGCACUCUAGAGAGACCGCCGGUGAUAAACCGGAGGAAGGUGUGGAUGACGUCAAGUCAUCAUGCCCCUUACAUCCUGGGCUACACACGUACUACAAUGGCGAUGACAAGUGGGCAGCGACCCCGCAAGGGUGAGCUAA
rnacentral:rRNA from 1 species